UGGUCAAGCACAUUUGGUCUGAAAAGUGUC
rnacentral:piRNA from 1 species